GGGUGUUCCGCCCCCUCCUACUCCGUCCCUAGCGGAGCGCCUGACUUUUAUUCGACGUUUUACAUCUUUAGCUCGCGUGUCAUGUUCUGGAGUAGACGUUUCUUCUCUUUGGGUCUCGCUUCAUUCAUUUCGUCGAUUCGCAAAUCUGUGUUUUGUGGACAGCAGUUUUAUUUCGUGGAGUUGAACGUUCGGUAUUUAUUGUCAGUCGGUGAGUUUUAGGAUUUUGGAUUUUAUUAGGAUUCGCACAUUUAUACAUAAAUACACAAAAUACAUAAAAUAUUACAAAAAACU
rnacentral:lncRNA from 1 species